UGUUGUUGACAGAGGAGCCAUUAGUGGCACAGAAGCCCUUGCCCUGCAUGUGGUGGGGCAGGCAGAGGCCAUGAUUGCCCUGGCACGGCCUGGCAGCAGGGCGGUGACCACUGGGCCUCAGCGUUGGGCUUGUAGCAGGGCCGCACUGUGAGGCUGGCACAUGGCAGCCAUCGCCCCAGGCCGAUGGUGUGGCCAUUAGCAGUCAGCAGGGUGAGAUGCAGCAGGAUGGCUAUGCGGGCCUGGGGCCUGGAACGUAAGAAAAUACCAGGUUUCUCACUAUAAUCAGACUACAUCAAGGUAACAGAUUUCAGAUGCCAGCUAGGGCACUGACUACUCUGCCAUGCUCACGGUACUCUGAUGCUGAUCUCAGACAUGCCCUGCUGUAACAGAGGAUUUCAGUGCCUGCUUGCCUCAUCUUCCACUAAGCAGAAAACGGUGCUGCGGUGUGUCAGAUAAUUUUGCACAUAGAAAACGGUAAAAUAUGUAUGUGUCCUCAUGAUGGCAGGAAUAGUAACAAACAGAUGGCUUCAGUUUAUCCCUACAGUGAGUACCCAAUGAGCAGAAGUGAGUUAUGCUGUGCAUUGUUUUCAUAAAUCUGUUUCACUGCAUUUAUUCAAGAUGUGACUAGAUUCAGAAUAACAGUAACAAAAUCUGUAUAAACAAAGCUAAAACAAAUUUGAAAAUACUUUUGUGUCUAAUUUUAAAUUUGUUAAAUGACUGUUAGAUACGAGCAGUGUUUCUCAGAACAUCUGUGUAAUGCUAUUAAAAUAAAAAUAUUG